rnacentral:rRNA from 1 species
GGAAUGCUUUACACAUGCAAGUCGAGCGGCAGCGCGGGGGCAACCCUGGCGGCGAGCGGCGAACGGGUGAGUAAUGUAUCGGAACGUACCCAGUCGUGGGGGAUAACUAUCCGAAAGGAUAGCUAAUACCGCAUACGUCCUGAGGGAGAAAGCGGGGGACCGAAAGGCCUCGCGCGAUUGGAGCGGCCGAUAUCGGAUUAGCUAGUUGGUGAGGUAAAGGCUCACCAAGGCGACGAUCCGUAGCUGGUCUGAGAGGACGACCAGCCACACUGGAACUGAGACACGGUCCAGACUCCUACGGGAGGCAGCAGUGGGGAAUUUUGGACAAUGGGGGCAACCCUGAUCCAGCCAUUCCGCGUGAGUGAAGAAGGCCUUCGGGUUGUAAAGCUCUUUCAGCAGGAACGAAACGGUGGCUCCUAAUACGAGUUACUAAUGACGGUACCUGAAGAAGAAGCACCGGCUAACUACGUGCCAGCAGCCGCGGUAAUACGUAGGGUGCGAGCGUUAAUCGGAAUUACUGGGCGUAAAGCGUGCGCAGGCGGUUAUAUAAGACAGAUGUGAAAUCCCCGGGCUUAACCUGGGAACUGCGUUUGUGACUGUAUAACUCGAGUGUGGCAGAGGGGGGUGGAAUUCCACGUGUAGCAGUGAAAUGCGUAGAGAUGUGGAGGAACACCGAUGGCGAA